UGGGGAAUAUUGGGCAAUGGGCGCAAGCCUGACCCAGCAACGCCGCGUGAAGGAAGAAGGCUUUCGGGUUGUAAACUUCUUUUAUGAGGGACGAAAGAAAUGACGGUACCUCAUGAAUAAGCUCCGGCUAACUACGUGCCAGCAGCCGCGGUAAUACGUAGGGAGCAAGCGUUAUCCGGAUUUACUGGGUGUAAAGGGAGCGCAGACGGCAUGGCAAGCCAGAUGUGAAAGGUGGGAGCUCAACCCCCCAAGCUGCAUUUGGAACUGUCAAGCUAGAGUAUCGGAGAGGUAAGUGGAAUUCCUAGUGUAGCGGUGAAAUGCGUAGAUAUUAGGAGGAACACCAGUGGCGAAGGCGGCUUACUGGACGAUAACUGACGUUGAGCUCGAAAGCGUGGGGAGCAAACAGGAUUAGAUACCCUGGUAGU
rnacentral:rRNA from 1 species